rnacentral:lncRNA from 1 species
UCUUUGCAGACAGCCUUGUAGGUGAAGCUGCAGUAAGCUGUGAUCUUAACCCCAGAGAGUCCCAGUGGAGUUGUCUGUGUGCUGGUCAAGAGAAAACAGAUCACAUACAAACAGGCACACAUCUGGCACAGUAAUAAUAAAGGGAUGAAAAUGUAUGUAGAUGGGAAUGUCAAUUAGGCGUGGCCCUCAGGCUCUUGGCAAGAGGCCAGCGUGACCACUGAUGGCAAAAGAUAUGUGUGUUUCUCCUACGGGGAAUAUGAAAAUGAUUUUGGCUUGAAUGGCUCUGGGGACAUCACUGGGUGCAGCAUUUACGCAGACUAAACGAAAGAAUGGUAAAAGAGAGGGCAUCAAACAACAGGAAUUAUGAUAACUGAAAAUUUUGGAUCUGGUGGUAGCAUGCUGAGAAAAGAAAGUCCAGC